rnacentral:rRNA from 1 species
GACGAACGCUGGCGGCGUGCCUAAUACAUGCAAGUUGAGCGCUGAAGGUUGGUACUUGUACCGACUGGAUGAGCAGCGAACGGGUGAGUAACGCGUGGGGAAUCUGCCUUUGAGCGGGGGACAACAUUUGGAAACGAAUGCUAAUACCGCAUAAAAACUUUAAACACAAGUUUUAAGUUUGAAAGAUGCAAUUGCAUCACUCAAAGAUGAUCCCGCGUUGUAUUAGCUAGUUGGUGAGGUAAAGGCCCACCAAGGCGAUGAUACAUAGCCGACCUGAGAGGGUGAUCGGCCACAUUGGGACUGAGACACGGCCCAAACUCCUACGGGAGGCAGCAGUAGGGAAUCUUCGGCAAUGGACGAAAGUCUGACCGAGCAACGCCGCGUGAGUGAAGAAGGGUCUCGGAUCGUAAAACUCUGUUGGUAGAGAAGAACGUUGGUGAGAGUGGAAAGCUCAUCAAGUGACGGUAACUACCCAGAAAGGGACGGCUAACUACGUG